rnacentral:rRNA from 1 species
CACGUAGGCGGACUAUCAAGCGUCUUGUGAAAGCCCUCGGCUCAACCGAGGAAUUGCUUGGCGAACUGGUAGUCUUGAGGCAGGUAGGGGCGAGUGGAACUCUUGGUGGAGCGGUGGAAUGCGUAGAUAUCAAGAGGAACGCCAGAGGCGAAGGCGACUCGCUGGGCCUGUCCUGACGCUGAGGUGCGAAAGCCAGGGGAGCGAACAGGAUUAGAUACCCUGGUAGUCC